rnacentral:tRNA from 1 species
GUCGCAGUAGCGUAGUGAUUAACGCACGGCCCCGGCUAUGCGCGAGACGCGGGUUCGAAUCCUGCCUGAGGUG